CCCUAACACAAUAUAUAAGCCUAUAAGCACUCUUUUUCUUCUUGAUUUCUUUGUGUAUUUUGGAGGACAUGGUUUCACGUUAAAUCGGGAGUCACCACAUAGUGCAUCAUUGGACAGGAAGGAUUGGCUCGUGAUAUUUGCAAAAGGUCUGGCUCGUGAUAUUUGCAAAAGGUCCACCGGUGGGAAUUUCACCACUAAGUUUAUUAAAUGAGAUGUUCAGGUUUAUAGACAAGAGGGGUUGCUCUGAUGAGGGAAUUUCACCACUAACUUUAUUAAAUGAGAUGUUCAGGUAUUUAAUAUGCACAAGAGCUUCUAAUGACUUUGGAAUCUCACCACUAAGAUUGUUAAAGGACAAAUCCAAGUAUUCCAAGGCAAGAAGUUUC
rnacentral:lncRNA from 1 species